rnacentral:lncRNA from 1 species
UUUUCCUCUGGUCUGGAUUCAGCUCCUAACCAUGACCCAUGUGGGUGACCUGCUGCUUCUGUGCCAUGGGGGAGGACCUCUGUGCUGACGUUGAGUGACGGAUGAAGUGAAUCAUCCUGCCUGCUGGGGGCGCUGCCGUCCGUGACCCGAGGCUAAGAUCUGGCAACCCACUGCUCCAGUUUCCACCAGGCCUGGAAGGAGGAAAAAUGUGACCACCUUAAACAUCUGGAGUGGAGGUCUUUCAGCGCUGAUUCUGCCGAGUCCUUUGGCUGUGGUUUCACUAGAUGGUGGAUAGGGACAGUGUGGGAGGGGCCAAAUGCAUUUCUUCAGAAUUUCACUGAUUUGUAUAAAAGCCUAAAGUUUUUUAAGUGUUGUGGAAUAUGUUUCUGUAAUAAACGACAUUACCCACAAAGCUUUUUUCCCUAAUUUUGUUUUUUUAAAUGAACUUGUCAACCUUUGCACUUGUUUCAGAGAACACUUUUUAAUUAUCAGUUAUUAGUUAUACUGUACACACACAGUAAAUUACAUCUGCUUUGUUCUGAUGGCUGACAAAAUCAUUAAAAUGGUUUUAUAUUUUUAAUCACAUUUCUGAUGAACCUCAAACAUUUUUUUCUUUAGAAUUAGUUUUUGAGUUAAAUUUAGUUUGUUAUACCGUUUCAAAUACACAGUAAAGCCAGG